GAAGCAAGCCAGGCCGCCGCUGGUGCAAGCGCCGAAAGGCGGCACUGGAGGAAGGUCCGGACUGCACAGGACAGCGUAGCAGCUAACGGCUGCCCACCGCGAGGUGAGGAUCAGAGCAACAGAGACGAGCCGAUUCAGUUCGGGUGAAACGGGCAAUCUCUACGCGCAGCAACACCAAAUAGGCCGGCGAUGAUGUGGUCCGCGGAGCCGGCGGGUAGGUGGCACCGAGCUGCCGCAGCGAUGCGGCGGCCCAGAGGAAUGGCGGUCACGGCAGGGAAACCUGCCGCACAGAAUCCGGCCUAUCGGCUUGCUUCACUU
rnacentral:RNase_P_RNA from 1 species